rnacentral:rRNA from 1 species
AACGAACGCUGGCGGCAUGCCUAACACAUGCAAGUCGAACGAGACCUUCGGGUCUAGUUGCGCACGGGUGCGUAACGCGUGGGAACCUGCCCUUAGGUUCGGAAUACCUCCCCGAAAGGGGUGCUAAUACCGGAUAAUUUCUUCGGACCAAAGAUUUAUCGCCUUUGGAUGGGCCCGCGUUGGAUUAGCUAGUUGGUAGGGUAAAAGCCUACCACGGCGACGAUCCAUAGCUGGUCUGAGAGGAUGAUCAGCCACACUGGGACUGAGACACGGCCCAGACUCCUACGGGAGGGAGCAGAGGGGAAUAUUGGACAAGGGGCGAAAGCCUGAUCCAGCAAUGCCGCGUGAGUGAUGAAGGCCUUAGGGUAGUAAAGCUCUUUUACCCGGGAUGAUAAUGACAGUACCGGGAGAAUAAGCUCCGGCUAACUCCGUG